CCUACGGGAGGCAGCAGUGGGGAAUAUUGGGCAAUGGGCGCAAGCCUGACCCAGCCACGCCGCGUGAAGGAAGACUGCUCUAGGGUUGUUAACUUCCUUUGAUAGGGAAGUGUAGAUGACGGUACCUGUCGUAUAAGAUAUGGCUAACUAAGUGCCAGCAGCCGCGGUAAUACGUAGGUGGCAAGCGUUGUCCGGAUUUACUGGGUGUAAAGGGCGUGUAGCCGGGUUGACAAGGCAGAUGUGAAAUCCUGCGGCUUAACCGUAGAACUGCAGUUGACACUGGUGAUCUUGAGUACUGGAGAGGCAGACGGAAUUCCUGGUGUAGCGGUGAAAUGCGUAGAUAUUAGGAGGAACACC
rnacentral:rRNA from 1 species